UACAGAGGCCUCAAGCGUUGUUCGGAUUCAUUGGGCGUAAAGGGUGCGUAGGUGGCGCCAUAAGUCAGGUGUGAAAUCUCGGGGCUCAACUCCGAAACUGCACUUGAUACUGUGGUGCUCGAGUACUGGAGAGGAGAUUGGAAUUUACGGUGUAGCAGUGAAAUGCGUAGAUAUCGUAAGGAAGACCAGUGGCGAAGGCGAAUCUCUGGACAGUUACUGACACUGAGGCACGAAGGCCAGGGGAGCAAACGGG
rnacentral:rRNA from 1 species